rnacentral:piRNA from 1 species
UACGAUUCUUGUGCCUUUUGCAGUUCGUC